rnacentral:ncRNA from 1 species
GAAAAGUUUAAUUUUGGCUUAAAAUUUGGUGUAAAGUUUUUUCCAUAUGCGAGGUUAAGUUUUUAAUAAUUCAUUGAGCAGUGGAUAGAAUUAAUUAUCAAGGAAAUCUUGGACUUAGGGAGUUUUUUAGUCUUGAUUAAAAUUGUGCCAGCAGUCGCGGUUAUACAAUUAAGGCAAAUCAAAUUUAUUUUUAGGCAAUAAGUUUUUGAGAGGAUUUUUAAUUUUUUGAUUUUAGGUGAAAUUUAAUUUUUUAUAGAGGUUAUUUUACGAUGUGCGAAACUUUUUUUAUAAACUAGGAUUAGAUACCCUAUUAUUGAAAGUGUGAAGUAUAAAUAUUAGUAUUAGUUAUGAUCUUGAAAGUAAAAAAAUCUGGCGGUAUCUUAGUCCUUUCAGAGGAACCUGUCCCGUAAAUGAUAGUCCACGAUUAAUUGUACUUAUCCUUUAAGCUUGUAUAUCGUCGUGGUUGAGUGUUUUUGUAGAACAACAUUCAUGUCUCUUUAUAAAGAGGGAAUUCAGAUCAAGGUGCAGUUGAUGGAUAAGAGGAGAUGGGUUACAAUAAGUUUACUUAUAUGGUUUAGAUUUUUAAAAUGGUCUAUUAAAGUGGAUUUGAAAGUAAAUUUAAGGAUUUACUUAUUUUGAUUAGGCUCUAAGAUAUGCACAUAUCGCCCGUCGCUCUCAUUUAAGUUGAGAUAAGUCGUAACAUAGUAGGUGUACCGGAAGGUGUAUCUAGUUUGAU